AUUCCAGCUCCAAUAGCGUAUAUUAAAGUUGUUGCGGUUAAAAAGCUCGUAGUUGGAUUUCUUCCAGGGGCAGUCGGUCCACACUAUGUGUGCGUAUCCGAUUUGACUUUGGAAUCCUCUUGGGGAACAUUUGUGCGCUUCAUUGCGUGCUAUGGUAUUCAAGACUUUUACUUUGAGGAAAUUAGAGUGUUCACGGCAGGCAAUCGCCCUGAAUACAUUAGCAUGGAAUAAUAAUAUAGGACUUUGGUUCUAUUUUGUUGGUUUCUAGAGCCAAAGUAAUGAUUAAUAGGGACACUUGGGGGCAUUCGUAUUAUCACGUCAGAGGUGGAAUUCUUGGAUUGUGUUACGACGAACUACUGCGAAAGCAUUUGCCAAGGAUGUUUUCAUCA
rnacentral:rRNA from 1 species